AUUACAUACAGUUCAUACAUUUGUGAUGUUAAUGUGUGACAAAAUGAUCUAUUUUCGAGAUGCUAUACCGACACAUAGCAUACAUAUAGCUUUGUGGUGUUGUGGUUAAAGACAUUGCCUCUCACAUGGGAGAUUCAGGUUCAAAUUAUCUGAGAGCAACAACUUUCAUCCCUUCUGAUCGCGGUCCGGCUGAACUAGGCUUGCCUGGUUCCUUUUCUUGUUUUUAUCGGCAUAUAAAAAAAUACAAAAAAGAUCCAGAUGUGUUUUAUUGUGUUAAGUAGGCCAUUGUUGAGGAUGUGAUAGGCCUUUAUCACAUACAAAAAAGUCACAUCCGGAUAGCCGUAAGGGUGUAACUUUACAUCUGGUUGCAGUACGGAACUGUUUUUCACAAGUUCAUUGCGUGACCUGCCAAAAGUUGACCAAAAAGAUCAUCGAUAUUGCUGAGCUCCACAACUAAGAAGUCAAAGCUUGACAAAAGCUACAAGUCCUUUCACGAGAACUACCUUUUCAAUUACGAAGUGUCGAACAAGAUGAACAGGGAGGUUGUUGUCAGAGCUACAGGGUGCUACUGGUCAAUGAGGAAGAGCGAAGAGCCCCACUCACUGCAGGUUUCCCAUAGAUAAGAUUAGGAUAAAUUUAAGAACCGUUAAGAUUACAUUAAACUCAUUGAUUUCGUUUUACUGCAGAUGCAUAUUUUCUUUGGAACUGUAGCAUAAAGCUAUGUAACUUUUUCCCAUGUAUGCCAUACUAAUUUCCAAUCAUAUGUGGUGCUGUUGGAUUAAUUGAAUUAGGUUUGGUUAGCUACACUACGUUUUUGUUGCUUUUUAUUAUAAUAUUGAUAUUCAGAUAUUUUUGUUUGAAAAUGAAUCCUGCACAUAUUCAUGCAUUUCCAAUAAUACUAGUUUCUGCUUCCACUGAAGAUUACUCUGCAAACCGAUGUGGAGCCUGCUGUCGUGCUGGGUUUAUUCUGUUCCUGUGCUGCAGGAAGAGCAAUGUCCAACCAUGUGGUUGCCUUGCUUUUCCAAACAGCACAUUUCAGCAUGAUGAACAUGAAGACAGUCCCACCACCUGUACCAUGCACAAGCUCACUACAAACAUGGCACAGGCCAAGGACUCAGGAACCCUUCCGGACCAGGCGGUGCUCUCUACUGAAGAGGCUUUAAGAAGCAUCACACCACAACCCCUGAUUUCCUCUGUUCUACAUAAUUUAGAGUCAACCAGAGAACUGUCUCUGGUUGACUCCAGGUUUGGACCUGUCCUCUGUAGUUCUGUCUUGUCCUACCAGUGUCCAUCAGUUACAACAAAGCUUGACAAUCACCCUGAUGCUCCAGUCUUUCCUAAACUCCCUAUAGGUAUGAAGUUAAAGAGCACAAUACAAUUUGUCCCAAUUUAAUCAUUUGGAAAGCCAUAAUGUCACGCAAGAAGUGUCCACAAUAAUAGAAGAAGGUACAAGACAGCAAUCAGAGUGCCUGCUAUGACACAAAAUGCAUGAGCCAAGAGUCACAGCCAGCAGGUUUCAUGUGUCAUGUGCGAGGAGAGUCCUCUGGUCAGGCACUGGCAAGACGCAUCAUUAAGGCGGGGCUAAAACCAGCCAAAUGAACCAGCCAAACCAGCCAAAUGAAAAGAGGUACAGCUCUAGAGCCAGAGGUCCUAGAGCAAUAUUAGAAAAUGUGUAAUGUCACUGUGUCACCUUGUGGCUUUGUAAUUCACCCAGAUGCUCCCCACCUUGGUGCCAGCCCUGACGGCAAGGUUAUUGACCCUGCAGCAAACCCUCCUUUUGGGCUUGCAGAGGUUAAAUGCCCAGAUGUCGACUGUUACCGAAGCAGUACACAUUAAACUUAUCAAUGUCCACACUUAUGAAAACUCAUAAAUACUACUGGCAAGUGCAAGGCCAUAACUGGAUUGAGUUGGUGCGACUUAAUUACAGACACUUAGGCAGACAUUAUAAUAGAAAGGGUUUGGAGGGAUGAAACCAUGAUAGCAUCAAUGAUUGAAAAAGUAGACCUAUAUUACUUUAACACAUACAUGGACGAGUAUCUGAGAAUGGCCUGAAGUUACAUCUGUAAAUUGUAAAUAAUGUAGUUUUACUUUUAGGGCCGGUUUCGCAGACACAGAUUUAGCCUAGUCUAUGACAAAGAAAACAAAACAAGCUCAAUUGAGUUUUCUAUUGAACUUGAUUUUUUUGUCCUAGACUAGGCUUAAUCCGUGUCUAAGAAAUCGGUCCAUACUGUGUUAAAACUUUGCUCUGCAUUACUGAAAGAUUUGUUUAUGUAUAUAGGAAACUUGUUUUUAGCAUAUUGUUUUUAUAUAUACAGUACUAUAUAUAUAUAUACAUAUACAUAGCUCUACACUACUGACAAUGUGUCUAACACGUGUACUGUGG
ensembl:lncRNA